GACGAACGCUGGCGGCGUGCUUAACACAUGCAAGUCGAACGGAAAGGCCCUGCUUUUGUGGGGUGCUCGAGUGGCGAACGGGUGAGUAACACGUGAGUAACCUGCCCUUGACUUUGGGAUAACUUCAGGAAACUGGGGCUAAUACCGGAUAGGAGCUCCUGCUGCAUGGUGGGGGUUGGAAAGUUUCGGCGGUUGGGGAUGGACUCGCGGCUUAUCAGCUUGUUGGUGGGGUAGUGGCUUACCAAGGCUUUGACGGGUAGCCGGCCUGAGAGGGUGACCGGCCACAUUGGGACUGAGAUACGGCCCAGUGUCCUACGGGAGGCAGCAGUGGGGAAUAUUGCACAAUGGGCGGAAGCCUGAUGCAGCAACGCCGCGUGCGGGAUGACGGCCUUCGGGUUGUAAACCGCUUUCGCCUGUGACGAAGCGUGAGUGACGGUAAUGGGUAAAGAAGCACCGGCUAACUACGUG
rnacentral:rRNA from 1 species